rnacentral:lncRNA from 1 species
UCCCCUCUCCAGACUUCCCUUGGUCAGCCUGUCUCACAGGUUCGAUGCCCAGCUGGGAGAGAAGUCAGAUUGAUCUCGAAAGUUCUUCUCUCAUUUAGAGACCUGUACAUCUAAGGUAGCUUUAGUAUGAACAUUGAUUUCAGUUUGUUUAUGUGAUAUUUAUUUAUUUUGUGUUUAAUCAUUUAUCUCAUAGGUUGAAUCAUUUUUGUCAUAAUUUUAUUUUGAAUUAUAAUAGGAAAACAGAUUAUGUUGAUUUAAUGAACCAUGACCAUACUUUUUAAAGAUGCAGAGUAUAAGAGCUUUUAUUAAGUGAUUUAGAAACCCAAACCUUAUUUAAGUAUUGUCUCAAAAUGUUUUUGCUGAUCCUCUAGGGUAGCCUAGUUACUUUCUUGUUCAUAGGCAUAAACAGUUUUUCUUUGCAUGAGAGUAUUGUAUGUAUUACGACUCUGAAGCGCAUUGUAGCUGUGUUUUCCUCAAGAGAAUCCUUAGAUAUUGAUCAAUGGAAUAAAGUUAUUGAACAGCUAGGAACACCAUCCGCAGAGUUCAUGAAGAAACUUCAGCCAACUGUAAGGAAUUAUGUGGAAAACAGACCAAAGUACCCUGGAAUCAAAUUUGAAGAGCUCUUUCCAGAUUGGAUAUUUCCGUCAGAAUCCGAACGAGACAAAAUAAAAACAAGUCAAGCCAGAGAUCUGUUAUCGAAAAUGUUAGUGAUUGAUCCGGACAAGCGGAUCUCUGUGGACGAAGCCUUGCGCCACCCGUAUAUUACUGUUUGGUAUGACCCCGCUGAAGCAGAAGCGCCACCACCUCAAAUUUAUGAUGCCCAGUUGGAAGAAAGAGAGCAUGCGAUUGAAGAGUGGAAAGAACUAAUUUACAAAGAAGUGAUGGACUGGGAAGAAAGAAGCAAGAAUGGGGUGAAAGACCAGCCUUCAGAUGCAGCAGUAAGCAGCAAGGCUACUCCUUCUCAGUCGUCAUCCAUCAAUGACAUCUCAUCCAUGUCCACUGAGCACACCCUGGCCUCAGACACAGACAGCAGUCUCGAUGCCUCAACCGGACCCCUGGAAGGCUGCCGAUGAAACCUCGCAGAUGGCGCACUUGUCUGUGAAGGACUCUGGCUUCCAUGGCCCUGAGCACAUGGGAGCUGGUGGAACCAAAUCAAGAAGCUCCAUGUUCUGCAUGUAAGAAACACGACGCCUUGCCCCCACUCAGUUCCAGUAGGAUUGCCUGCGUAGACUGUAACAUGAGGCAGACGAUGUCUGGAGAAAAAGUACAAACCACACUGUUAGAAAUUUUGUUCAAGAUCAUUUCAGGUGAGCAAUUAGAAUAGCCGAGUUUCUUUUUCCAGUCGUGUGGUGUCCUUGGUGACAGAUCAUGUGUAACUGUGGGGACUCGUAUGCAUGUGACCACAAAUGCUUGCUUGAACUUGCCCAUGUAGCACUUUGGGAAUCAGUAUUUAAAUGCCAAAUAAUCUUCCAGGUAGUUCUGCUUCUAGAAUAAUCUCUUAAUCCUCUUUAGUAAUUUGGUGUCUGUCCACAAAAAAAUAGAUCAUGUGUAUGAAUUGGCCACUAUCAUAUUAUCAUAUUUUACCCACUUUUAUGGUAUGAUUUAUUCUGUCUUUUGUAUUUCAGAAGGAAUAUAAUUAAAUUUAUUUAAUAAAUAAAACUACAGCUUUUCUUAAAUUUGUGAUGUUUUAGGCUGAGAAUUACCACUGCUUUAUAUCGACACUCUGUGUCCUUUAAACUGCCCACUAUGGGAAACUUUACGUACAGCUUUCUGCAUGACAAAGUUCCAAGUUGUAUUUCACUCUGCUUAACGACUUAUGUCACCUUGAAUCCUGACCACACAUUUCCUUUUUCUUGGUCCUCUGAACUUGGAUCUAGAAUCCCUCACAGAACUUCACCUUCUUUAUCACAAAGCACCCCAUCUCAGUAGAAUGAAUCGGCAGAUUCCUGAGCCCCGCUGCCUAAUGUAGAGCUGACAGGGUGGCUUCCCCAGAACGGUGGGUGGGUGCCUCCUUCCCUGAGCCCACCCAUCCUUUGCUCCCCUCUCUUUAUUUAAGGUGAAAGGUGAUUGGGUCUCAUAGCCUUUCCUUUUGUAGCAUUGCCUAACUUGUCUUUCUCACUGACAGAAGCCACCACGUCCAGCCAGAGCACAUGGUCUCUUAGGAGACCGGGCUUACUUACCAUGCAUGUUUGCUGCUGUCCUUUUCCAUUUUGUGGAGGCAUUUCCUUUUUCUAAGGGAAUUCCUCAGAUGUUCUAGAAACAUUCAGAAGAACGCAGAAGAAAUAUUCUAGAGAAUUAGGGGUUCAUUCUUGAAUAUUUUCUGAUUUAAAACUGCUCACCUGAAAUUGAUACUUUCAGAUCCUGAUCUGUAAAUUACUCGAGAUUUGGUAAGAUGCUGAGUUCUCUGUGUUGUUGCAGAAUUGGAGUUGGGAUGAUCAUACCUUGGCUACCUGCGCUCAGAGCAUUUCCUUCUUGAGCUUAUUUUGUUAACAAUUCAUAUCUUGUGUUCAGUUACUUUGGGAGCUAUGGAGUGUGUUAUAGAAGGAAAUUUGAUAAGAACUUUUAUGGAAAGUACCAUCUAAUACGUGAUUCUGUCUGCACCAGUUGUAUCCUAAUGGUUGGUCUGAUCAUUGGAACCUUUAAUGAACAAUGUUAAUCUGAA